GAUUUCCAUCUUGAUUGCGACAAUUUAUGUUAAGUAUUCUUGUCUGCUUGCUGAUAUUUUGUCUCUACAAGGAAACACAAUCAAGGUGUUUUUAGUUUAGAAGUUUUACUUUUUGAUUGUGCGAUGGUGAUGGGUUGAAAGUGAACUUCUUUGAUAUAAUAUUCCAGAUAUUGAUGAGUGGAUGCUGUGUUAUCUCUCCAUAUGAAGUUGGAACUCUUGUGCUUCGCAUGUACAAAUCCAUAUAGAAUAUAUAUUUGGAUAAAACUUCAAGAUUAAGCAUUCAGUGGUGGACGCACAGGUUAGAGUCUACUACUUACUUUAACAAUAGAGAAAAUAUUUAUCCUCAAGCUAAACUUUUUUAUUGUUUUCUAUAGAGUCUCAAACGCAACUGCUUUUGGUUCCUAUAAUAACACAAUACUCUUUUUGUUAUUUAGAGAACUAGUGUCCCGCGAAUAUUAGAGGACACUUUAGCAGCAUGUUAUUCAUUAUCAUUGAUGCCAUUGCUAUUGAUGUUCUACAUCUUGAUUUGUUUGCGUAUCCUUCAGAACAUGUUGUCCUUGCUCUUUACUUUUUCCCCACAGAAGAAUAUACAUGCCAGCAAUAACCAAGGCAGAUCCUGCAACACUGUUUAUUGCAGAUAGAGAUGCAUUAGGUGCAAUGGAAAGUAGAAAGACCGGAAUUCAUAAAAGAAAGAUUAAAGAAAUCAACCUUCCCAAAUAAAUUUCCUCCUUUAGUACAGAGAAAUCAAGCAUGGCCACAAAUAUCUGUAUAAGGGGGGUAAAGGCUGCAGUAAAAACCGGUCCCCUUUGUUUGACACACCAUGACAUUGCCACAUAGCACAAGCCCGACCCUACCAAUCCCUAGACUCACAAAAACCACAAUUUUGAAUGUUAAAGGCUUUGACAAGUAGUUAGGAUUGCUGAAUCUUCUACUUGAAAUGCAAACCAAUAUUUUAGACUUGAACUUAGAAUUUGCAAAUAAACAGACUAUUUUAAAAUAAUUUAAAAUGAUCAUGUUACUGUAAAGAAUGUACUUACAGAAUAUAUAACACUUAAUAUUUCUAGCUUUCCUUUGAGAAUCCACGAAGCAUUAUUCCUCUUGAUGAUCAAAGUUAAUAUUGCUGACUGAAUGGCAGCGAAAAGUGACAAAAUAGCUGUGCUAGAGUACUGACAUGGGUAUUUUUUGCUAAUCUUUGCUUGUAUAAUGAACCAUGAAGACCACAGGAGGCAGCUCACGGUUAGAAUUAUGGAACCUAUAAUCCACGUCUCUAACUUGGCAGUUGAAGGUAAACUUGUAACUUUGUUAGCUAUGUAUUGGGAUUGUGGCUUGAUAAGGGGCAUUCCUUUAUAAAGGACUAAUAACAAAGCUCCACCAAUGCAGACAAAAGUUCCCAUGACUUUAGCUUUGCCUCCCUUGCUUUGCACAUUCACCUUCUCUAUCCUUGAAAAAUUUCAAGCCCAAGGAUCAAAAUUACUGUUGUUGUUGUAUUCCACAAUCAAAUAAUUUCCUUUUGUUUUAACUUACCCAAAUGGCACUGCCAUAAUGAACGUAAAUACAGGCACCAUGUUGAGGAACGCACAUGAGAACGUGGCUGACGUAUAUUUAAGUCCAAGAAGGAAAAGGUAUUGGGGAACUGUCACUCUGAAAAACAUUGCUAUACUUGUUACAAUUUGUUUAAAUGUGAGGUUUUGGAUAGAGGGAUUAGGUUUAGAUCUUGCCAACAUCAAAACUGAACCAGAAGCUUAUAUUUAGUUACAAUAAUACUUACCCGAGUAGGGCACUGAGGAAAAGGAGACAUAUUGUGCGAACCUCCACUUUGUGUUUCCUGUAAAAAGUAAAACACUGGCUUUGUCCUGUCAUUUGUAAAAUUUAGGUAGUUCUAGAAAAAAAGUUGUCACUAAAACAAACAAGGUCAUGAAUAUUAACCAAAGAUGUGUUGAUUAAGGUGACAGAGAAAGAAGUUUCAACGAGAAUUUUUCUUUACUCUGAGCAGGUUGGCAAAAUGGAUCAAACAAUGUUACAAGAAAUGAAUUUGGCUCUUGCCUUUCAUAGAUGCAGGCAAUAGGUGCCAUGAAGAUAAACGAAAUUGCCUGUCGAUAUGUUAUAAUGGACAUGUAGUCCAUUCCUUCAUUAAGAACCUUC
rnacentral:lncRNA from 1 species